rnacentral:rRNA from 1 species
GGGGGAUAUUGCACAAUGGAGGAAACUCUGAUGCAGCAACGCCGCGUGAGGGAAGAAGGUUUUCGGAUUGUAAACCUCUGUCCUCAGGGACGAUAAUGACGGUACCUGAGGAGGAAGCUCCGGCUAACUACGUGCCAGCAGCCGCGGUAAUACGUAGGGAGCAAGCGUUGUCCGGAUUUACUGGGUGUAAAGGGUGCGUAGGCGGCUCUGCAAGUCAGGUGUGAAAACUAUGGGCUUAACCCAUAGACUGCAUUUGAAACUGUGGGGCUUGAGUGAAGUAGAGGCAGGCGGAAUUCCCGGUGUAGCGGUGAAAUGCGUAGAGAUCGGGAGGAACACCAGUGGCGAAGGCGGCCUGCUGGGCUUUAACUGACGCUGAGGCACGAAAGCAUGGGUAGCAAAC